AUUGAACGCUGGCGGCAGGCCUAACACAUGCAAGUCGAACGAGUGGCGGACGGGUGAGUAAUGUCUGGGAAACUGCCUGAUGGAGGGGGAUAACUACUGGAAACGGUAGCUAAUACCGCAUACCAUCGGAUGUGCCCAGAUGGGAUUAGCGAGGUGGGGGGGUAAAGGCUAACCUAGGCGACGAUCCCUAGCUGGGCUGAGAGGCUGACCAGCCACAUAGGAAUUGUGCGACGGUACAGAAUCCUACGGGAGGCAGCAGUGGGUAAUAUUGGACAAUGGGCGCAAGCCUGAUGCAGCCAUGCCGCGUGUAGGAAGAAGGCCUUCGGGUUGUAAAGUACUUUCAGCGGGGAGGCGUUACCCGCAGAAGAAGCACUGGCUAACUCCGUGCCAGCAGCCGCGGUAAUGC
rnacentral:rRNA from 1 species